CACCAAUAACAUUUCGCGCAACUCCUCACCGCUGGGGCAAACUUGAUGAAAUCCGUGCCAUAUGGUAGCCACCGUUAUGCAUGGCGACCGAGUUUCAGCUCUAUACAAAAAUCAGUCGAAGUGGUCUCCCCCUUCGCCGUGAAAUUGAAACCCAAGCCUCCGUGGUAGGUAAGAGAAAUACAAGACUAAACGACAAGAAUUACACAGAGGCGAGGGGAAUACUUUUACUUUUUCCUGCUGGCCAAUCAGCGCCCAGCCUGCGAUAAACCAAAGAAGAGCGAAGUCGCGGGAGAGCCAAUGGGAAAGCGACUUUUAUUUCACACGUCCGAUUGUGGUUCCGAGGGAAUAGGAGCGGUCCACAUACCUCUAAAGGUAAGAGGGUUAUGUCCUUUUGAUAUUCUUCCGUGAGACUCGGUAAAAGAAUGAGAGAGAAGAAAAGGAUAUUGCAUAUUUAAUGUCUGGAAUUCGGUACACGAUCGCAACCAGCGGCGACACGAAGCCAGCGGCGCACGGAUCCGAACGUGUGUACACUUGCUAAACUGGGUCGUGUGUUCGUGUGUUUGUGUGUAUGUGUGCGUCGUGACGUCGCGAGAAACAGCUGAUCGCAGCCCCACAACAGAGAGCGAGAGGACCGAGAGAGGGAGCGCCCCGUCGGCAGAGAAUCGAGCUCUUUUCACCCCGAAAUCGCAGCCGUUCCGCAGUCGAAAUGGGUCUCGCAGGCGUUCGAAGGGCACCUCUGCCCUGCGGGAGAGAUGGCAGCCCGACAUUCCUUUUGAGAAAGUUUUAUCUUUGACAGACAGGUAUAGACAGAGAUGAUGAUGAUGAUGACUUCGAGGGAUAAGAUUAAGAAUAGGGAUGAUCGGGGAUGGUUAUCCUUAAGGUUUAAAAAGGCGAAAGAGGGAGAAAGAGAGAGAGAGAGAUAACCGUGGCAGACAGAGAACAGGAUGGGAUAUCGCGGUCCGGUAUGUUUCGAAGUGGAAGAGAGGAAAAGAGGUAAAAACAGGGAGGAGCGAAUAAAGAGGAGAAGGACUCCUAAAGGACUCUAGGACUUGGGAGGAAAUAGGCCAAGGACGCGAGCAGAAGGGCCCCUUUGGAAGAAUCGUUGUCAUCCGAUCUCUUAUCUCUCUUGUUUCUUCACCGUCGUCGUAUUAUUUUCCUUGUGGCCUCCUUGUGAGUAUGUGUCAGAACGGUGUGAAAUAAAGACAAAUAUCCAUCCUUUUCAUCAUUAUUGGUAAUUGUUGGAAAGUUAGACAAGAAAAUACAAACUUGUCUCAUUGUAAUUCGUGUUAAAGAAUGUGUAGAGACUGAAAGAAAAAAAAAAUGAAAAUUGCAUCCUGGGGAACUGUGUGUCAUCCUGUGUUGGAAGCAAACCUGUGCUACAUGGAAUGUAUCUUGUUUUGUUAAUGAUGUGUGUAUCCUGGAUGGAUCCGAACUUUAAAAUAACCUGUGUAAUAGUGUGUCGAAUGAAAGGAGCGUAAGGGGCGUGAGGGUGUGUGUGUGGAUACCGUGCAACGGAUUCUGGAACUUUCCCCAAAUACAUUGUAUAAACACACAACGAUAGCGCCUCUGGCCACGAGUCUGUGGGCCAUUCCUUCAAGAAUGAUGAACCAAAUUUCUAAACCUAUUUCUUGGAGGGAAAAAAUGAUUUGGAAAAUUGGAGAAAUAGAGGGGGGUGGGGGGAGUAGAGGGGAACGCUGGUUUUGUACGUAGCCUAAGGUUGCGAGGUGCCUUUUUUUUUUUUUUUUUUGUGUGUGUGUGUGUGUGUGCGUGUGUGUGUGUGAGUCUGUGUCUGUCUUAAUUGUAUUUUGUCCAUGUGAGUUCUAGUUACGAUUAUUUUAUCUCCUUGAAAUGAGAAUGGUAACUGGAAUGAUAAUGGUGGUAGCACUAGUAAAUAUUUAUAAUUUUAUACCUUUUUACAUAACCUUGUGUAGAUAAUAUCUGAUAGGAAGUAACCAUCUUUGGAGGGUUUUUCCCUGUCAGUUAAUAUUUGGUUAGAAAAGAAUAAAAUAUUGAUUAGAUUAAU
rnacentral:lncRNA from 1 species